rnacentral:misc_RNA from 1 species
UUUAUUUAUUUAUUUAUUUUGUGUAGUUUAGUUUACUGGCAAAUGUAGAAAAUGUGAAGUGUUUGCUUAUUUGAUUAUGCAUCAUCUUUGAUUCAUAUAUCAAUUUGUACCGUAUGAAACAUUCCUUUGAAUUUUCUCCUUUUCUUGUGCUUCUUUUUUACUUAUAGUUCAAGGUAGACUUGGCAAUUUCUAGGCCUUGCAAAUAAUUUUUUUGGGGUUAACUCAGUUGCAAUCAUGUCCAUAUAUUAUGUGUUUUUGUGUGUGCAGUUGUUGCUUUUAUGAUUUUGGUUAUUCUUCUCUGUUUGAUUGUUGUUGAGAAUAUGGAUUGCUUGCUGUUUGUUGGUGUAACCUCCCUUCUGCUUGGAAUGAAUAAGUUUUCUUAUAGAGGUAAACAAUCGAGAAAGACUUGACUUAAAGUUAAUUAUAAAGGAAACUGUUACGUAUUAUAGAAGGAGGAAGAGGAAUAGGUAGUUAAGAGUGGGGAUUGGAGGGAAAGGCAGCUGGAGUAGUUAAGUCUUGUUGAGUCUGUUAGAGGUGGUUACAUCAGAAUCUGUUUAGAUCUGAUAUAGGUAGCAGUUCCUUCUAACUGCUCUUGUAUAAAUAGAGAAGUAAUCUCUGUAUUCAUUCAUUCUGAGAAUCAAUAAUAGAAACUCAUUCUCUCUUCUAUUUUUCUAUUCUUGUCUCAUCUAAAUCUGUUCUCUUCUCAUCUCUUUCUCUAUUCUCUCCUCAUCUAUAUUCUAUUUCUCUACUGAAUCUCUGUUUCAGAGCUUAUACUCAACAGAAAGCUAAGUAUUGAAAAGAAGGAAAAAAAGUUAAGAUUAAAAAAAAAAAGAUAAAGUUAAGUAUUGGAGACAAAAGGAUGCUUCAAAAAUUUUUCAUUGCUGUGACAAUUACUUGUAGUAAGAAAAAUGGAUUAGUUAAUUACCACUUAAUAUAAAAUUAUAGAGGUGAUUGUUAAGCAUAUAUCUUGUAAUUAAAGUUGUAAGCUUCAGUAACAUUAAUGUCUACUUCAAAUUAAAAUCUAUACAGAGUGAUACAUAGAUAUAUGAAAAUCUUGGAGAAAGUAAUAUUUGUAAUAGUGGAUAUCAGAUUCAAGUUUUAUUCAUUCAAUCCUUGGAUUCUUGGUGAUUAACCAAAACUUUAUUCUUGAAAGUCAAUUCAAAUACUGUAGAUAUAAAAUUGUGUAUUUAAUAUUUAUUGAUGUGACAAUAUUGAGAGGGGAACUCAUUUCAGCAAAUAUAUUGCUGCAGUCUCUCACCCUUUAAGUAUGCUGUAUCAGCAAUUGAAAGCACUCUUGGAGAAAACAUAUGAUGGAAAAUGUUUAAGAUAUCAUAAAAAGUACCCUUAUUUUAGAAGAUUGUGUAAUUGAAAGAAGACAAAGAGGAAGCCUCAUCAGAAGAAUCCAGAUAUAUGACUGGAUUCCUUUUUUUGCAAUAACAAAAAUGAAUCUGUGCAGGUUCUGUUCGCAAAUUUUAAAGGAAUCAAUCAUCAUUAGGACCCCAAAUUUGAAGAACCAAAGAUCCAGAUUGCAGUGGUCAGCAUUGUGCAUUACAAAGUGCUGAAAAGUGAUUUGAAUUAACAGACACCUUGUACGUACAACUGUAUGAAGAAUCUCUGCAUUUGCUCUGGUAACCUCAGAACCUGGAUGGUUGAUUUCUUACCACAGAUUGUAAACACCAUAUGAGGAAACUGUAAUAAAAAACACUAAAAAGAAUACUGAAAAUACCGUUAACACUUAAAUGCUACCUAAAUUUUCGUAAAUAUGCUUACGUCAACUAAUCAUUAAAGCAUAUGAAGUGGAUUAAUCAACUUUGCACGCUAAUAUACUGAAGCUUAUUAAAUGCAUUUUGUGUUCUUAUUUAGUAGUAAGAUUCAAAUCUUAUAUCUUGGUAGAGAUUGUACUUAGGACGUUAGAAGACAUAAAUGUGUAAGCCAAGAUUUGGGUCAGAAGUUCUAUAGGCUGUUGCUAAAAGUCAUCAACUAUAACCAGUUGCUUGGAGGACAAAAAUUAAACAAAAAUUUGAAUAAUACAGUUAAUGUUGAAGUUGUUUUCUGAAAUAAUUAUGUUAAGACUUCUGUCGCUCUGAUUAAGUAGGUAGUUAACAAAUUAUUGUUCUUAAGGAUCUUGGAUUUGGAAAUUAAAUCAAAUGCUCUUUGCCACAGAGUGAUGUAGAAAAUGGUAUGGCCAAUUCCCAAUUUGCUCUUUUGAAAAUUUUUAUUGGUAAUUCUAUGUUGCUAUCAUCCAUAUUUGCUUAAAUUAAUCAAGUGCCUAUUCCAUGUUGACUUUGUUCUGUAGUUGAUUAAAUUUUAAUUUUAUGCUCGAGUCUAAUUUAUUUCUGCUGUCUCAAUUGUUGUUGCUGAAUUUUGUUUUUAUGUAGGUUAUGGUAUCUGCCAAGGAGGAA